UCCUACAAGCGGUUGCUUUCUCUGUCGCUCCUGCUGUGACUAACCCUGGAGGGAGAAAGCAAACUUUGCAAGUCCCUGGACAUAAAGGUUAUUUGCUAGAAUGGAGGAGACUUUUAUGAGAGGCCGGGACGCCGAAGCGGUGGCACUGCAUGGCCCAGGCAGCAGUGAAAGUGCCCAGCGAAGGCAGAAAAAAGCCAUCCGUGGAGUGGAGGUUGGCACCAAGACAAAGACAUUUAUUUAGAAACCACCCAGCUCCAAACCCUUUUCCCUUCCCCUGAACCUACAAACCACUAAUCUGCUCAGGCAGCUGGACCCCAGAUUUUGAGGUGACUGGGACUGCUGGGAGAAUCUCAUACAAAACCCUGGAUCUGAACGUCCCUCGGCAGCAGCCACACGCACGCCCAGCUCUGUGGACGCUGUCUACGGAAAAUAACGCACAGCUUGUCUAAAGCCACGCGUCUUUGUGGACAUCUCAGUGCAAACACUUUAAAAGCCAAAAAUCCUCUUUGACCCAUACGUGGCAUUUCUUACAGAGCUCACUCAUCUCCCACACGGAGCCUCUCUGAGCUGGCUGGCAAAAAAGGAGGGAAUUUCCUUUAAAAACCCCGGCAGAAGAGCUGCAGGCUGCUCCACACUGGGGCCCUGCCAGCUCCCUGCACCCUGCACGGCCUCAGAGGUGCUCGCUGGUGUCCAGCACCCACCAGAGAGGACAGGGAGCACCCACUGCUUUUCCCCAAGCGGGGAAGGGCUGCAGCAUAAUCUGGUGGGCGAAGCCGCCGCUCUCGCUGGCGGGUGGGGAAGCGAUGCCAGAGGCUCUCGGGUCUGUAGUGAGGAUUUCUGAAGGGAAAACUGUUCAUCUCGUUGGUCGUUGAUAGCUGCGAAUUUGCCAGGAGAGGAGGAACAGAAAGGGAAUUUUAAUUUUUUAAUUUCCUUUCCAUUCAGCGUUUCCUGCAUUUCCAAACUCACGGGAGGUUUGCAGGAACGUCGGCUGAAAUCCCGAAAUGUAAUAAUAAUAAUAAAAGUAAAAUUAAAAUAUCAAACGGGACGGACAGAGAUGCUCGGGGUAACACACGGUUCCUCCGCCCGCGGCCGCGCAGGAUGUUCGUCGGUUCUGGCCAUUCGCAGUAAAUAAAUGAAUUUAAAAAAAAACCAUCCUGGUGACUCGAGAAUUAAAGAGGAAUGGGGUAGAGGAAUGCAGAGA